rnacentral:rRNA from 1 species
AUUGAACGCUGGCGGCAGGCCUAACACAUGCAAGUCGAACGAGUGGCGGACGGGUGAGUAAUGUCUGGGAAACUGCCCGAUGGAGGGGGAUAACUACUGGAAACGGUAGCUAAUACCGCAUACCAUCGGAUGUGCCCAGAUGGGAUUAGCUAGUGGGUGGGGUAAUGGCUCACCUAGGCGACGAUCCCUAGCUGGUCUGAGAGGAUGACCAGACACACUGGAACUGCGACACGGUCCAGACUCCUACGGGAGGCAGCAGUGGGGAAUAUUGCACAAUGGGGGCAAGCCUGAUUCGGACAUGCCGCGUAGAUGAAGAAGGCCUUCGGGUUGGAAAGUACUUUCAGCGAGGAGGCGUUACUCGCAGAAGAAGCACCGGCUAACUCCGUGCCAGCAGCCGCGGUAAUAC